rnacentral:rRNA from 1 species
AAGUCGAGGGGCAGCAUGAACUUAGCUUGCUAAGUUUGAUGGCGACCGGCGCACGGGUGAGUAACACGUAUCCAAUCUCCCGCUUACUCAGGAAUAGCCUUUCGAAAGAAAGAUUAAUACCCGAUGGCAUAGUUCUUCCGCAUGGUAGAACUAUUAAAGAAUUUCGGUCAUCGAUGGGGAUGCGUUCCAUUAGGUUGUUGGCGGGGUAACGGCCCACCAAGCCUUCGAUGGAUAGGGGUUCUGAGAGGAAGGUCCCCCACAUUGGAACUGAGACACGGUCCAAACUCC